UUUACAUAAAAUUUGCUAACUCUUAGUCCU
rnacentral:piRNA from 1 species